UGAUUAGAUACCCCUGUAGUCCCAGCUGUAAACGAUGCAGACUAGGUGUUUGGACGGCCACGUGCCGUUCUAGUGCCGCAGGGAAGCUGUUAAGUCUGCCGCCUGGGGAGUACGAUCGCAAAAUUGAAACUUAAAGGAAUUGGCGGGGGAGCACCACAAGGGGUGAAGCUUGCGGUUUAAUUGGAGUCAACGCCGGAAAUCUCACCGGGAGCGACAGCAGUGUGAAGGCCAGAUUAAAGGUCUUGCCAGACGAGCUGAGAGGAGGUGCAUGGCA
rnacentral:rRNA from 1 species